CUAUUAUGUGAACUGGUUAUCACUUCAAUGUUUCUUUUCGAUGAAAAGCUUAUUUGAAGAAGGCAGAGCCUGCUGGAGGUGGUGCCAUCGAUUUUGCUGACAUGUCCCAUGAGCGCCACCUGCUAAGCCAGAUGGAUUAAGGAAGACCCCACUCUGCAGGACAAGUCUGCGCCUAUGAGGGAGGACCUAUGGUCCGGAGGUGGCGGAGGUGCUAUGAGUCUACAUCCUGCAGUUUGGAAAGUAUAAAGGUGGUUUUUGAAUAAUGAUGUAGGCUACACUAUGUAUCUUUUCAAGAAUCUCCGUAUGGUAGGAGGCUUUAGGUAUCUGUAUGGCCGAGGGGCAUAGCAAGUACAGCCUACUGUCAUUUGUGAAUUAUGCUCUCAGUUUUGCAGAGUUCCAGUCUCUUCUCAACUAUGAGGCCAGUGGAGUGGGUGUUGUGGCAUCCUCAUCAGAAGACGGCCAGCUGGUUGGCUUUGGCUCUCGGGCCAAGAGCACCUGGAAGGAGAUAUAGAACAGCAGAGCUGAUGGCUACGCAGACUUUGUCAUGGGGAAGAGCCUUGAUGUCUUGUAAUAUUACAGUGCACAAGAAGAGAGUGGAUGGCCACUGAAUUGUUUCAGGCCCAGGGCUGACCGGGGCAGCACAGUGGAACUACCAACGGCUGGUGGACCUUAAGCAGCCAGGUGUCAUCCUCCCUGCUGUGUUUGAUCCAGUUGUAAUGGCUGAGUUGAAGUCUGCCUCCAAGAAUCCGUUGGCCAGCCGCUCUCUGCUGGUCCACUGCUAAAGCAGGAGAUGUCGCCAGACGACCACCAGGAACCUCCAGCAGCAAUUGGUAAGUUAACAUAAAGUUUUGGACGUA
rnacentral:lncRNA from 1 species